rnacentral:lncRNA from 1 species
GUUAAGGACUACCUGAGCAUAUUUUCAGGACAUAGGGAAGAGGCCAGUGAAGAACAAGGGAUCGAAAAAGAGAAAAGAUGAGUGAACUGUUUCAAAGCCAGGUUUCAAAAGACAUAAAAGAGAACAGGAAAUAGAGCACAUACCGUUGUCUCGCAAAAUACCAAAGACCUUACAUGUUAUGGAAGCUGGAAAGAAGCAAGGAAGAGUGAGGACCAGAGACCUUUUGAGGUGAAGAGGAGGAAAGUUGAGGUCUCUGGUAUCGUUGGGCUGAUAACUGCUUCAUUAUAGUAAUUACCAAGGUCAUGAUCAAAAAGAGAAGAUAACUGGACUGACAUCGCUGACACCAGAAUGUGUGAAAAGGCAUUUAAAAGAGAGAAAAAGGUGAGUAGUACCAGAGGCUGGUAUUAAAAGGUAGAUGCUGCUGGUGUGAAAGAAAGAAAGAGAACAUGACAGAGAGCCAGACAAGUCCUGUGAUUGACAGAGACGCAGGAAGAAAGGCAGGGGAUGCCUGGAAAAUGAAACACUGGGAGACAGAAGGGGACGUGUUCAGCGACAGCAUCCCAUACCGUCCAUUUCUUCUGCUUUGGGGACCACUUUGGUGAGGAAGUGUGAGAAGUAUGACAGAACAGGAGUAACGCUGAGCUUCUGGUUUUCCUCCUGCUCACAGUGCGAACCUCGUCAAAGCCUGCCCCAAAUCUGCAGAAAACGGCCGAAAUACUGUCACCAACCCAGCACAGAGAUUUUUUUUAAAAGAAUCAAAUAUGAUAAAGUAGGUAAAAGCCCUUUAUGAACUGGAGAAGUAGAUUUUUUUUUUCAUUUAUUUAUUCUUUUAUUUAGCAGACAUCUAUUGAGCACUUACUGUGAGACAAAACUCCACUCGGUGUGGUUGUUCUCUUCAAGGGGCCUCCAGGCUAAAAGAAAAGAGAGAUGAACGCCUCAGUCAUUUCCACACAGUGCCUAGAGGCCAAUGAGAGAUGUUUGCUCUGAGUGUAGUGAUGACAGGAGGGAAGACCUGAGGGGUAAGGAAUAAAGCACGGAAGAUAGCUCAGGAAAGAGAUUUCUGGGCAGAACGGACACGAAGAGGCUCAAAGCAGAGCACAUUUCAUUAGCUAGAGGGAUACCAUGUUUGAGGAGUCCGCACAGACGUCUGUUUUUCUCCAGCAAUGUUUCACAUGGAUGGACAGGUAGUUGGAGUUUUGGAGGUUCAAGGUUUCCCCAGGUGAUUACAAAAAGGGGUUUGAACGUACAAGCAAAGAAGUGACUUCAUGGAAGGAUCAGGAAAUCUAAAGGAGACUCGGCGGACAUCGCUGAGAAAGAGCAUGUGAUGAAGUCAACAGAGG